rnacentral:pre_miRNA from 1 species
GGCUCAAACUUGAAGUAGAGUAGAUUAGUAUGGUUAGUUGAUACUACUACCAAUCCACUCUAUUUCAAAUUUGGGCCC